UACGUAGGCAGCAAGCGUUGUUCGGAAUUACUGGGCGUAAAGAGUGUGUAGGCGGUGCUCUAAGUUCGGUGUGAAAUCUCCCGGCUUAACUGGGAGGGUGCGCCGGAAACUGGAGUGCUUGAGCGCGGGAGAGGAAAGCGGAAUUCCUGGUGUAGCGGUGAAAUGCGUAGAUAUCAGGAGGAACACCUGUGGUGUAGACGGCUUUCUGGACCGUAGCUGACGUUGAGGGACGAAAGUGUGGGGAGCAAACAGG
rnacentral:rRNA from 1 species